rnacentral:rRNA from 1 species
UACGUAGGGUGCGAGCGUUGUCCGGAAUUAUUGGGCGUAAAGAGCUUGUAGGCGGUUUGUCGCGUCUGCCGUGAAAAUCCGGGGCUCAACCCCGGACUUGCGGUGGGUACGGGCAGACUAGAGUGUGGUAGGGGAGACUGGAAUUCCUGGUGUAGCGGUGAAAUGCGCAGAUAUCAGGAGGAACACCGGUGGCGAAGGCGGGUCUCUGGGCAACAACUGACGCUGAGGAGCGAAAGCGUGGGGAGCGAACAGG